GCACCCGCUGCACCCGCUGCACCCACCCUGCGGCCGUGGUCAACAUGAAGAGUGACCCCUGACCGCGUCCUGUGGCCCUGGCUGGCCUCGCCGCCGGCCGGGCUGCCCCGCGCAGCGCGCAUCGCGCAGAAUCCCAUAUUCCUGUGAUAGCACCAAGACUGCCCCUUUGUAUUCCACGUCUGUGAUAGCGGACGAAGACAGUUAGUGUGAGAGUGUUUUUGUAGCUCAACGUGAAGUGGAGAGCCCCGCGCUCCCCGGACGCCCCAUCCACGUGAAACGGUGCGGGAGAUGGGGAGUUCCGGUAAAAAGGCGAUCGGCGGCAGCAUCCACCGUAUCCGUGAAUUCGAGUUGGAGAAGGUGAACCUGGCCGAGGAGUUCGACAUCCUGCAGAUCGUCGGCGAAGGAUGGUUCGGCAAGAUCCUGCUGGCCGAGCACCGGGCCACGGGCCGCGAGGCCGUGCUCAAGGCCCUGCCCAAGCCCUACACCGCGCUCAAGGACUUCUACCGCGAGUUCCACUACUCGCUGCACCUGGGCGCGCACCGGUCCAUCAUCACCACGCAGGACGUGGCCUUCGAGACGGCCGGCUUCUACGUGUUCACGCAGGAGUACGCGCCCCUCGGCGACCUCACCGCCAACGUCUCCGAUAACGGCAUCGGCGACCUGCACUCCAAGCGCGUCGCCAAGCAGGUCGCCUCGGCGCUGGAGCACCUGCACUCGCGGGACCUGGUGCACCGCGACGUCAAGCUGGACAACGUGCUGGUGCUGCGGUCCGACUUCUCGCGCGUCAAGCUGUGCGACUUCGGCGAGACGCGGCGGGCCGGCACACUGGUGACGCGGCGCCACGAGUGGCUGCCCUACUCGCCGCCCGAGGUGCUGCUCACCGACACCGACCAGACGUACAAAGCCGAGACGUCCCACGACGUGUGGCAGUUCGCCGUGGUGGUGUUCGUGUGCCUGACGGGGUGCUUGCCGUGGCAGAAGGCCGCCCCGGACGACCCCCGGUACGCGCGCUACGUGUCCUGGCGCGCCGCCGCCUCCAUGCCCUUCCUGCCGGCGUCGCGACGCCCCAAGCUGUGGCGGCUCAUCUCGGCGCGCGCCCAGCGCAUGCUCAGGAACUUCCUGGAGCCGCGCGCCGACCGCCGGCCGGCCAGCCUCGGCGAGCUGCAGCGGUACCUGGACGACCGCUGGGUGGCCAAGGGCAGCGGCGACAAGAAGGAGGAGGGCGUUGAGGACGACGGCCUCUGCCCGUCCAUGUAUUCCUUCCACUCGUCCGUGGAAGAGAAGAACAAGCUGCUGGCCACGCUGUCCGAGUGCGGCAUCGAGACCACGGUGGACCGCGGUGCAAAGAAGGACCGCAUCCACCAGUGGGUGCAAUCCUCCGUCAUCGCCGAGGACGACGAGGAGGGCGAGUCCGAGGACGGCGACCUCGAGGGCGAGAGCUGGGAGGAGGAGGAGUCCCAGCCCCGGCCCAGGCCGCGCACGGGGAGGGUGGGUGUUGGCCGCGUUCGGCCCUGGUUCGGACGCGCCGUCCUGCAGCCGCUGGAGUAUUCGCGGAGCACGGCUCACUCUGUUCUGUCUCUGUCUCUCUCUGUCCGCAGGGCCAGGGUGACGUGGAGCAGGCGACCACGUCAUCGGCGUCAUCGGCUGGCCCGGUGGCGCAGCCACAGCCUCCCCCCCGCAGCGCGGCCAGCGGCACGUCCAGGGUGUCCUCGGUGUCCUUCGCGGACAGCCAGCCGGGGCCCGGCCCGCAGCGGCCCACUGCCGCCACCCGCUCCAACGGCACCCCCAAGUCCGGCCCUUCCAGAUCCGGCACCCAUUCCUCCGGCCGGACGGCCAACGCCAACCCCAAAGACAGCCCCUACUCGAGCGGCAGGGUGCCCAACGGCGUGGCCAAGCCGUCCAACGGCAACCCCAAGGAUGACCCGUACGCCGCGGCCACGGCGGCCACGGCGCGGACGCCCAACGGACUGCCCAGCGGCAGCGGCAAGGGCCGCACCGCGCCCGCCGGCAGGGCGACCAACGGCAAGAUGGUGAACGGCAGGACGGCGAGGGAGCCGCAGCCCCAGCCACCGCCACAACAGCAGCAACAGCCGCACACCGCUUCCGGCGAGUCAGGCAGCAGGUCCGGCAGUCACUAGCCCCAACAGUCCUACAGUACUCUUUGGUACUACUGUACCGUACUGUAGGACUCCACUGACUCCACGACCGGCGGCCGGCGCGGCGGUCUGCAGCCGCUUCCACGGGCUGAUGUGCUGACGAGCUGAGGAGCUCCACUUCGGCAAGCGGCAAGGCCCGGCCAUCCUGACAGGGCGGCGGCGCCUUGCUCACAUCCCCUCAUCAAGUCAUGGCCAGGGAUGGAUGUUUGCCGUCUGCAGUCGGCGAAGAGCAUUGCUUGGCGGGAGUGCAUUCUCAUUCUCACGGAAAGAACGGGGUUUUGAAACAUGCUGUAACUUCUAAAUAUGAUGACCACUUCGUGGCUGAAAUUUUCUUUUUUACUGAAAGAAAAAGCUAAUUAAAAGAAUGAUUCUUUUCAUGACGAUGACUAUCUAGUGUCAAUAUUCUCCAAAUCAAGACUGCUCUCAUUUUGAAUGGAACAUAGUGUAUAAAAAGUGUAAACAGGAUGUCUGUUCCGUAUAAGAUAUUUAAUACAUUAAGCAAUUCGGUAAGUUAAUAUUGUGUAAUCGCUUCGUUGUUUGAAAAUAGAGAAUGAUGUUCAACAUUGUGA
rnacentral:misc_RNA from 1 species